AGGUGAUCCAACCGCAGGUUCCCCUACGGUUACCUUGUUACGACUUCACCCCAGUCAUGAAUCACAAAGUGGUAAGCGCCCUCCCGAAGGUUAAGCUACCUACUUCUUUUGCAACCCACUCCCAUGGUGUGACGGGCGGUGUGUACAAGGCCCGGGAACGUAUUCACCGUGGCAUUCUGAUCCACGAUUACUAGCGAUUCCGACUUCAUGGAGUCGAGUUGCAGACUCCAAUCCGGACUACGACGCACUUUAUGAGGUCCGCUUGCUCUCGCGAGGUCGCUUCUCUUUGUAUGCGCCAUUGUAGCACGUGUGUAGCCCUGGUCGUAAGGGCCAUGAUGACUUGACGUCAUCCCCACCUUCCUCCAGUUUAUCACUGGCAGUCUCCUUUGAGUUCCCGGCCGGACCGCUGGCAACAAAGGAUAAGGGUUGCGCUCGUUGCGGGACUUAACCCAACAUUUCACAACACGAGCUGACGACAGCCAUGCAGCACCUGUCUCACGGUUCCCGAAGGCACAUUCUCAUCUCUGAAAACUUCCGUGGAUGUCAAGACCAGGUAAGGUUCUUCGCGUUGCAUCGAAUUAAACCACAUGCUCCACCGCUUGUGCGGGCCCCCGUCAAUUCAUUUGAGUUUUAACCUUGCGGCCGUACUCCCCAGGCGGUCGACUUAACGCGUUAGCUCCGGAAGCCACGCCUCAAGGGCACAACCUCCAAGUCGACAUCGUUUACGGCGUGGACUACCAGGGUAUCUAAUCCUGUUUGCUCCCCACGCUUUCGCACCUGAGCGUCAGUCUUCGUCCAGGGGGCCGCCUUCGCCACCGGUAUUCCUCCAGAUCUCUACGCAUUUCACCGCUACACCUGGAAUUCUACCCCCCUCUACGAGACUCAAGCUUGCCAGUAUCAGAUGCAGUUCCCAGGUUGAGCCCGGGGAUUUCACAUCUGACUUAACAAACCGCCUGCGUGCGCUUUACGCCCAGUAAUUCCGAUUAACGCUUGCACCCUCCGUAUUACCGCGGCUGCUGGCACGGAGUUAGCCGGUGCUUCUUCUGCGGGUAACGUCAAUGAGCAAAGGUAUUAACUUUACUCCCUUCCUCCCCGCUGAAAGUACUUUACAACCCGAAGGCCUUCUUCAUACACGCGGCAUGGCUGCAUCAGGCUUGCGCCCAUUGUGCAAUAUUCCCCACUGCUGCCUCCCGUAGGAGUCUGGACCGUGUCUCAGUUCCAGUGUGGCUGGUCAUCCUCUCAGACCAGCUAGGGAUCGUCGCCUAGGUGAGCCGUUACCCCACCUACUAGCUAAUCCCAUCUGGGCACAUCCGAUGGCAAGAGGCCCUAAGGUCCCCCUCUUUGGUCUUGCGACGUUAUGCGGUAUUAGCUACCGUUUCCAGUUAGUUAUCCCCCUCCAUCAGGCAGUUUCCCAGACAUUACUCACCCGUCCGCCACUCGUCAGCAAAACAGCAAGCUGUUUCCUGUUACCGUUCGACUUGCAUGUGUUAGGCCUGCCGCCAGCGUUCAAUCUGAGCCAUGAUCAAACUCU
rnacentral:rRNA from 1 species